rnacentral:rRNA from 1 species
AUUGAACGCUGGCGGCAUGCCUUACACAUGCAAGUCGAACGGUAACAGGUCUUCUGAUGCUGACGAGUGGCGCACGGGGGAGUAAUACAUCGGAACGUGCCCGAUCGUGGGGGAUAACGAGGCGAAAGCUUUGCUAAUACCGCAUACGAUCUACGGAUGACAGCGGGGGAUCUUCGGACCUCGCGCGGGCGGAGCGGCCGAUGGCAGAUUAGGUAGUUGGUGGGUUAAAAGCUUACCAAGCCGACGAUCUGUAGCUGGUCUGAGAGGAUGAUCAGCCACACGGGGACUGAGACACGGCCCAGACUCCUACGGGAGGCAGCAGUGGGGAAUGUUGGACAAUGGGCGAAAGCCUGAUCCAGCCAUGCCGCGUGCAGGAUGAAGGCCUUCGGGUUGUAAACUGCUUUUGUACGGAACGAAAAGCCUUUUUCUAAUAAAGAGGGGUCAUGACGGUACCGGAAGAAUAAGCACCGGCUAACUACGUG